rnacentral:rRNA from 1 species
AACGAACGCUGGCGGCAGGCCUAACACAUGCAAGUCGAGCGGACCUUUCGGGGUCAGCGGCGGACGGGUGAGUAACGCGUGGGAAUAUGCCCUUCUCUACGGAAUAGUCCUGGGAAACUGGGGGUAAUACCGUAUACGCCCUUUGGGGGAAAGAUUUAUCGGGGAAGGAUUAGCCCGCGUUGGAUUAGGUAGUUGGUGGGGUAAUGGCCUACCAAGCCGACGAUCCAUAGCUGGUUUGAGAGGAUGAUCAGCCACACUGGGACUGAGACACGGCCCAGACUCCUACGGGAGGAAGCAGUGGGGAAUCUUAGACAAUGGGGGCAACCCUGAGCGAGCCAUGCCGCGUGAGUGAUGAAGGCCUUAGGGUUGUAAAGCUCUUUCAGCUGGGAAGAUAAUGACGGUACCAGCAGAAGAAGCCCCGGCUAACUCCGUG